AAAGAGUGAAUCGGGUGGAUCUCAGACCCUGUGUGCAUGUCCCUGCUCCAGUUGCCCGCAAGAGGAAUGUUGAGUCUAAUGUGGAAGUGGAUGAAGCUUCAACAAUUGAUGUGGACGAUGAGAGUUUGGAGGAGGGUGUAGUGCUCGUGGAAUGUACUGGCCCAAGUGUGGUUGAACGUCUUGUACGGACUGAAACUGAAGCUGAACACGAAAUGGAAGCCUCAGAAGUGUCUCCUUGUGAUCCUGAGAUUCCGGCUGGAAUAGAACUUGGGGGAGGGUUUCAGGAGGAAAGUGUUUCUAGUUUGCCCACACUGCGAAGGAGUACCAGACCUAAUGUGGGUCAACAUUCAAAUCCACACCAUGAGCCUAGAUCAGCCCUAAAUCACAAUGUUGUUUCUCAAAUGAUCGCUAAUUUGGGUACCGUAUUCUUCAGAGAAGCAGUUAAAGAGCUGAGAAACUCUUACACUGUCACCGAGGCCGUUGACAUGUCGGCAGGGGAGAAUGUAGCCGGGUGGUGUUUGAACUUGUAAAAAAGUACUUCCCCUUUAAGAAAAGCGAGCCCCUGAUGAUGACGUGUUAAUAGCGCGCAAUGCAGAGAGAAACGGAAAACAGCAGUGCAUGAGAUUAAUCCAUCCGUGUGUCGAGUAUCAUCCUUGAUUUAAUUGAUGCUCUAUUUCGAGAUGAUCGAAGAUGUUUGAUCGCACGUGACUGCAUUUUGAAAUCUCUAUAAAAGAGUUCGGGUGCCACUACCGUGUUUGUGUUUGCUUUGAAAGUGUAUUGUUUCAUCCUGAAAGUGUGCCCUAACAUUCGUAAAUAUUUGACAUUGAGAAAUUGACACUUUACUAAAUUAUCUGUUAAGAUAUUUUUUUGUUAAUUAUUCAUUUUGAGUUUAUAUUCUUUUCCUUGGUUAAAGCAUUACAGUGACCCCGUGUGGGGAAUUUGAGUAGUGUGGUUGAGUGAUAAAUUAUCACCUGUGACUUGUUGAACUACUCAGUUUAAAGCAUUGAAGAUCUUA